UACGAAGGGGGCUAGCGUUGUUCGGAAUUACUGGGCGUAAAGGGCGCGUAGGCGGUCCUUCAAGUCAGGCGUGAAAGCCCCGGGCUCAACCUGGGAACCGCGCUUGAGACUGGCGGGCUAGAGUUCGGGAGAGGAUGGUGGAAUUCCCAGUGUAGAGGUGAAAUUCGUAGAUAUUGGGAAGAACACCGAUGGCGAAGGCAGCCAUCUGGACCGACACUGACGCUGAGGCGCGAAGGCGUGGGGAGCAAACAGG
rnacentral:rRNA from 1 species